UCGCCAUCCCGUCCCUUAUUUAUACCCAACGCACUAACUGUCUCCCCUUCUGUCGAUUUGGUAUCGGACAUCAAAAAUUGGGGUUCGCUUUCCCUUCCGGUUCGAAGCAGCCAUGUCGUCGAAGCAAGGUGGAAAGUUGAAGCCCCUGAAGCAACCUAAAUCCGAUAAGAAGGAUUACGAUGAGACGGAUUUAGCAAACCUCCAGAAGAAAAAAGAUGAGGAGAAGGCAAUGAAGGAGCUCAGGGCCAAGGCAUCCCAGAAGGGAUCAUUUGGGGGUACAGGUCUCAAGAAGAGUGGGAAGAAAUAAUGUUCUUCCUACUGUACUGCUAAUAUAAUGUUUGUCCACCUUUUCUUGGAUUCUGAUUCCUAUGUGGUGAUAACUAGUACUUAAGAUGCUCUAUCAGAUUCCGAAGCAAGUCAUGAUAUGAGAUUGUACUGUUUUGAGUCUCAGCUAGGCCUUGUCCUAUGCAUCAUUUUAAAUUAUAUAUUCCCCAUCCAUGAAGUUGUUGCUGCCAA